rnacentral:rRNA from 1 species
AUUGAACGCUGGCGGAAUGCUUUACACAUGCAAGUCGAACGGCAGCACGGACUUCGGUCUGGUGGCGAGUGGCGAACGGGUGAGUAAUGUAUCGGAACGUGCCCAGUCGUGGGGGAUAACGUAGUGAAAAUUACGCUAAUACCGCAUACGAUCUAUGGAUGAAAGCGGGGGAUCGCAAGACCUCGCGCGAUUGGAGCGGCCGAUAUCAGAUUAGGUAGUUGGUGGGGUAAAGGCCCACCAAGCCAACGAUCUGUAGCUGGUCUGAGAGGACGACCAGCCACGCUGGAUCUGAAACACGGUCCAGACUCCAACGGGAGGCAGCAGUGGGGAAUUUUGGACAAUGGGCGAAAGCCUGAUCCAGCCAUUCCGCGUGCAGGAUGAAGGCCCUCGGGUUGUAAACUGCUUUUGUACAGAACGAAAAGGUUUCUACUAAUACUAGGAGCUCAUGACGGUACUGUAAGAAUAAGCACCGGCUAACUACGUGCCAGCAGCCGCCGUAA